rnacentral:lncRNA from 1 species
UGUAGGCUGCCCAACUUUCAAGUGAAAAUAUGGAGGUUAUUUACAGAGUUGUUUCUCCUGAUGCAUGAUUAAUCAAAACUGAUGGUGAUAUCACCAUAGCAUAGCCAAACUCUGCCAGAGAUUUACAAAGCAAAGGGAAGGCACUCAACACCCAUAGUUACCUCCCUUGUGGUAUGGAACAUCUUUGAAAAGCGAAGCCAAAUGAGCUUGCUGGACUUGUUAUGUUUGAAUUUGUUGGUUUGGUUGUUGAGGACACCUGUACACGCAGUGUAAUUUGUUUGUUCGUUUUUUAUACAAAGCAAAUGUUCUUUUGUUUUCGCUGCAUUGGUCUCCUUCUUUAUCACUGUUCUGGCAAGGACAGGCAGAUGCAUCUGAAUCUCAAGUCAUUGCCAUUGGCAGCCCUAUCUUUCCCCUUCGUUUUUGCUCUGUUUUUUUACAAGUGCCCUGGCCAUGUAAAUCGCUUCAAUCUUCACCUGGGAGCUCCCUUAUUUUCAAUACCGCUGUGUUGCAAUCUGUUGAACCGUGAUGGGAUCUGUACACAGAUGUUGAGGACCAAUGCCUUUUUUUUCCCUUGCGGGAAGAAGUCCAAUGCCCUUCAUCAGUACGAGUACUGAUACUACCUGAAUGUCAUACUACCUGAACUGUCUUGCACCUGGUUAUUUGAGACAGACGGGCAAGUUCAGCACUGCGUUUUAACAACUUCGCGCCACCGCGCGGUAUCAAGCUGAACCACUUCACACAUCCCUUUUGCAGACCGAUCCGUUGCAGUGAUGGCAGUGACAAGUCCACGGCAUGGCGCCCUGCUGCCAAGGCCACAAAUGAAUGCAGCAAGGGUGGAUAGACGCAAACGGCAACGCCGGGCGUCGGCUUUACGCCGGCCAGUUCCGCACCGUCACCUCAGGCGUCCAGAACGGGGUCGACAGGCGCACAUUGCCAAAGGGGAGCCGUGUCUCCGGCGAUCGGAUCAGACCCUUCGAAUUAGAAUCCAAUACAGGAGGCACAGCGAAAUCGGCGUCGUUUCUCCGCCAUCAGGUCAGUUCUUGCACCUAACCAACUCUUGGGGGCGGUGCACAUGCAGACGCAGACAUGCUGCGGGCACAUUUCCAUCCAUCCAUCCGUCCCAGGCUUGAGUUCUGUUCAGUCCUAUAGAUCCUAUGCUAGACCGAGGGAGGCUUUUACUCCCCCUAUAUAUAUCUGCUGCACUGCGCCUCACUCACGCUCGAUGCAUUGCUCGUGCACAUGCAGGAACAGUGCUCUCUCGUCGGCGAUGAGACGGGCUACAGGGGUAGGGGCCGGAUUCAGAAAGGCAGCCUCUGCGCGGUGGCAGGGGGGAAAUGAGGCCUCGGCAUAGCCUGGUUGUGCAGAAAGAUCUAUAGACGAUCAUCCUCUAACACUAGCUUUUGUGUGUUCAGAGAAAUGAUCUCUACGUGGCUAACUGAUUUUGGUUUGUUUGUACGUCCCUGGCACUGGCAGGCACAGGUUAGGAGUCGAGAGCUGGGGGACCAUGCGCAAUGUGUGAACGUGCAGAUAGUGUUGGAUCCAACACCCAGACUCCUGGCAAUUAACAAGACGAAACUACUAUGCAGACGAAAGUCCCUGCACGAUCAGGGAACGACAGCCAAAUCCAGCCGUCUACUUCAUUUCAGUGCUGUGCAUGGACGAGCUGAUUUGCAUUGUCGUUCACAUAUCGUCCACAGCCCAUCGUGUGUAUAGCAGCGCUGUCUCCUCCCCAUGCUUAUCAGCAUCCACUGCAAAGGGCCCCGGUCGUCUACUCAUGAUAAAACUGAGCCCAAAUACACAGCCAUUAGGAACCAAAACAUAAACUACAUAUAUUGGAAGAAACAGCAUGGAAGGCGCCGAGAAAAGGCGUCGCCGCUUUAUUCCGGCGCACAAAAAUUGCUGCUCUUAUAGAAUGAAUGAAAUAUAGGAAAGGAACCCACUGUGCGCCGACAGGUGGAACGGUGUCAAAAGCCUUAAGCCAUCCUUUAGUGGUCAGAGAUGCAAAUGCCCCUGUAUUACAUAGAGCCUAACCUAAGCUUAUUUCAUGAUUUCUUUUCCUCCUUGAUAGUUUAUAGUUUCCCAAGCCCUCUCCACUAUCCAGCCCUUUUGGCCAUAUAAUUAUCUUGUGCCACGCCAAACACUUUGCUUAAUGCAUGCCCACAUGUAUGGAUGCAUCACUGAUGAAGAAGCAUCCCAAAAUCAGAGAGAGCUCACUGGAUUGGAGAAUCGCUCGAUCGACAGUAUGAACACUUGGCAUGUUAUUCUGUCGGAAUUGCGAGAAGAGAUUAGUUUACUGACAGUUGCGAGUAAGUGCUCGCUGCUUUGAAUCAAGAAUGUGAUCUUUGUUAUGAUAACAGUAUAAGAUAUGCAGUCUAGGAUGUAGGGGGGACAGAUUAGGAGAAACUUGGAAGCAUCAUGGAAAAAUUACACGGUAGAUCGGCGCAACGCCGAAAAUGUUUUCUGUUUUGCCAAGUGGAGCUUGAUUGGCACAGGAAAUAUGGUCAAGAUUGGUACAACAAGUUGCAGGGCAUAUUCUUUUGCCAAUCCUAUAGGAGCUCCCUUCACCCUUAGGCGCAUUUCUUAAUUUUAUUGCCUGUCAAUUCAUGGCUUAGAAGAAGCCAUUAGGCUGCCUAGAGCAUACUUUGCCUCAAAGCUUAAAAAAGUAGAUAACACUGACAUCCUUCCUGCCAAGACUUGAAGUCAAUCUAACCCAUAGAUGCCAAAAUAGUCACUAAACUAGUACAUUUAGCUGUACAAACUUUGCUGUACAUAGUAGUCUCGUCCCAAGGAUACCUAGGCAGUUGGUGAGAAAUUACAUCCAUCUUGCAAGCCUCUACUGAAUAUUGUAUUUUUCUCUGAAAUGUCAUUUUCACCAAUAUAUAUUCAGUUAUGAAAGAAAAUAACAGAUAGUGAACUCCAUAUAUUCUACAAACUUUGGAAAGAUCAAGUCCAUUGUGAGGUAACUUGGAACUACUCGUGAGCAAUGAGCUUAAUCAGAGAGCAUCUUGUUUGUGACAAAAUGAUAUACUGUAUAUUUUUUGUGUUUGCUAGUCAAUCUCGCCGCAUUUGUCUUAUGAUAAAAACACAUUAAUUAGAAGCCAAUGUGUUCCCUAUAUGCCGAUGCAUUGAUGUGUUCAAGUACCACAUAUAUAGGUGGCAACUGAACUGUUCUAUUUAGUUAAGCUAAGGUCAGUGUCAUGGGUCAGUGAGCAUAGUGCACAGCACUAUAAUUAAACAACCAUUAUGGUGGAUAUAAACUAACAUCAUGCAGAUUACAUUAAACAUGGGGGGACCAAGACAUUGCCAGAUACAAGGCAGGAAAAUUCCUGUAUAAUCCCGCAGCAAACGACAAUUUGGGUACACUUCCUAUUCUUUGUUAAUCACCAAGUGGGAAUGUUUAAUUUCUUGGGAUGUUGUGAUGCACUUGUUGCUUGUGUAGACCUUGAAUUGGCUCUCUGCUGUCUCGUGGUUUGCCUACAACACGGAUGAUUUGGCUUUAGCAACAGCUAAUCAUGGUGGAAUUACAGAUAAACUUCCUCAAAUGAGUACUAAAUGUAUUCAUCGGUCCUCUACAUGUGAGCGACAAAGAUCCAUAGGGUAUCUCGGACCGAUUCUUGGGUAGUUAUAGUGAAUUUUCAUGCUUCAUUUUAGUAAUAUAUGUGUGCGCAUGUGUAAUCUGAUGUAUUUUUUUUCCUGUGACGACGAUGCUUCCAGGACGUGAGGGAGAUGCUAUGUUUUAACUUUUAGUAUUUGUUUCCAAGAAAAUACUACACCCUCCGUCCUAAAAUAUAAGAACGUUUUUCAUACUACACUUGUAUGAAAAACGUUCUUAUAUUUUAGGACAGAGGGAGUACUUGUUAGAAAUUUGUCGCACACAUGUUGAAGACUUGGACAUGUAUAUGUUUGUUUUGUUUUCUACUCUCCCCGUUCCAAAUUAUAAGAUAUUCUAACUCUUUUCAGAAUCCCAUGUAUAUAGACAUGUUUUAGUGUGUCUGUUCCCUCAUUUUGGUUUGUAUGUAGGCCAUAUUGAAAUAUCCAAAACUUCAUAUAAUUCAAAAGGGAGGUAGUACUUUGCAUCGUUCUACCCUCUCAUAUUUUUGCAUGUGUAUUGAUGUACUAAAGCGGGCACCCAGGAGCCAUUUCGCCCUCUGGUAUCUUGCAUAUGUACCAGUAUACUUUAGUGAAACUUGAAAAAAGAAGAGGGGAUUUAUGAGAGAACACGAAUAAAGAGUAGCAGCGUAAGGGUCUAUUUUGUUCGAAGAAUUUUAGAACUGCAUGAGAAUAGAAAACUAAACACUACAUAUAGCUUGGGUUACUAUUAUAUUAAUGCUAUCACUUGAUGAGUAGUAUAGAGAACAUAUGAUUAAGACAAGAUAUCAUUAUAGUAAGCUCACUUGUGGCAAAAGCAAGCGGUUGUUUGAUACCGUUAGUUGAUUCCGCACUGCCGUUAAGGUUUUCCCAACCGAACUUUUCUAAAAUGGAAGUGCACUCCAUGAGCUUUGCUUUGGUAAGCAGUCUUAAUGAUGAACCUCUCGAUUACUGUAGAUCCAGCCAAGUUACCUAUUUGUGUGGUUUCAUGAAGGCAUCUCUGCUAUGGCCAGACGUUGAACUCAACACGGAAAAUACCAAAAUCAAAUGAGUAAGUAGAUAUGAACCGCUUGAUUUACUGAAUUGUGCAAUAUUUAAAGUUCAAACUCAUUAUUGUAUACUAAGUAGCAGGCACGCGGGUAACAUCUUAAUUGUUUUGUAAUUUUAUAUUCGUUGAAGACCAGCAUAUUAGUCAGAAGGUAUGUGGAUUGCGAUAAUGUUUUAAGUUCUCACACAUGUAUAUGUAAAAAAAUGAACCAUUGAGUUUACUUAUGUUAGAAUUAGUAGUAAUUACUAUCAUUAUCAUUAUUGUUGUUAUUAUGAUCACUGGUGUAUUUUCUCUUAGUAAAAGGUUCAGACCAAUCCAAGGAAUUCUAAUAAAAUUUAGAUAAAUAAAGUGGAGGAGAAUACCAAGCCCAAAUAAAAUAGUAUCAAAAUUUUAUGAGUGUGUACAUUAAUUGUAUUAUAUUCUAUGAUCAAGGCAAAUUACAAUAAGCUUUAAGGCUUUAAUUGUGAGUAAGAGAUCCAUGAGUUUCUCUAAAAUAAUGUGUAUGCGUUGAAGUGCUUGGAUUAAUCCUUAAAUGUGUGAUGCAUAUAAUUUCAGUUUUCACGGAUAACUAGCUAACAUUUGUUUUUAAUAUUGUUUGUAUUCUAUUUGCUCUUGUUUGUGAUCGAGUUAUCUAGAUUCGUGCCCAUAAUUUACGUGUCAUCUUUGCAUUGUGAAAACAUACUUUAAUAUUCUAGAUCAGCGAUUUCUAUUUGCGUCUCCUAUUAUUCUACCUUCAAUCAAUAGUCGGGUUUUGAAACAUCUGACAGUUGGGGAAAAAGAUUGUGAGGAGUUACUUACCCGACCGAUUUCUUUUCUGGCAAUUGCAACCCCAUUUAGCAUUUCUUUUAUGGUACCCAAAGAUAGAAAAGUUGUGGCAGUCGAAGUUCAGCCAAUAUAAAGGCCCUAAGAUCCCCGUCAAAGACUUAAGCCAUUGCAGAACGGCGAUGUUCUGUAAAAUUGUGAAAUUUCAAGUUCAAACUUACAUCGAAGGUAUGAAACAAUGUUAAGUUCGGCACUUGUAGCAUUAUUUUACUGUUUUCUUCACCAUUUGUUGCUUUUUUCUUAUAAAUCUAAAAGAAAUUCAAACAAUUCAAAAAAAAAGAAAUUAGUUUUGGAAUUAGAAAUGUAUUACAUGUUCAUAGAGCAUCACCUCUCGGCACUUCUUUUUAUCGGAUUGUUUUACGAACUUUAAAGGUCUGAAGCAUAGUUUUCAUGUGGUUUUCACCCUAAUUUGAUUUCCACCGGAUAAUUUUUUCAUAGAAAAUAGAAGGUAUCAAAUGAAAACCAGCUUAAAAACUCGGUGGAAACCACACACACAAUAAGCUUUAAAAACUAUUGAAAAAAGAAAAUAUAUUGCAUAAGGCAAGGGCCGAGCCAGUCCCCGGUACGUGUCCCUGCUAACGUCACUGCUCAUUGUUGGCACGAGAAACAAACCAAGCCGAGAUUUAAAUCCGUGGGAGCCUUUCAUGUAGAAAAAAAUAAUCCAUGUCCUGAACGACGGAGACAUGCAUGGGUUGCCCACGAAAAAGGCCUCAGGGGCCCAUGCUGCCGUGCAUGCGUCAUCUGCUCGUCAUCUUUGUUUCCUGGUUCAGGUCAUCGGGGACGGGAUUUUCUACACGCAGCCCCCUUCUAUGCCCGUGGACAGCAAUAAACGGAGGUUGGUCAGAGCGUCUCUAGCAAAUACUUAAAACACGGACAAACUGCCUUAUAGGGGCCGGUUUACGGGACCGAUCGAAAAACUGGCCGAUCAGAUCCGCGAAAAAGGACCAGAACCGUAAAUUUUUUAGAGCACGCGUGUAAACCGCCCCCGUUUCCGCUAUAUAUUUGGGCGCCGAUGUAUUUUAGCGUUUCCAUCCCACAAAUCCUCUACCCUCCUUCGCCGUGAACCUCCUCCCUCCGGCGAGAAAUCACCUUCCCUCUGGCAGUGAUUUCCGGUGACUCCAGCCACCGGAUCUAUCCGGUGAUGGUAACCGCGGGUGCGGGGCGUGGCAGCGACGAUGGUUUCGGUCGGCGCGGGGGCUUCGGGUGCUACGGUGGAGACGGCGCGCGCGACAGCUUCGUCGCCUGCAAGUGCCGGAACGACGACGAGGCAGGCGGCUCCGGCCUCCGCCCUGCCGUGUCGGACAUGCAAAGAGAGGCGGGGCGCAAGCGCGACGCCAAGUCCUGCAGUGCCGGUGCUCCGGCUUGGGCCAGCUUUCGUCGCCUCGGCGACAUCUUCGAUCCCGCGCUGGAAUGUCAUUGGGAGGCGGAGGUCGCGUGGUUCAACGCGAAGGAGGCCGCCGCAGCCGAGAUCUGGCCGCGGCCGCGCGCAUGCCGGCGUUGCUGGAGGAGUUCCAGAUGCAACGACCCUCUGCUCCAUGCUGAUCUACAACACGCUGCACGACAACGAGCCCCCGCGCACCACGGCAGCGAUAACAGCUCCGGCGAGGACUCUAGUGAUGAGUAGAUCUUAGCUCCCCUAGGCUAUGUUUCAGUUGUGUUUAAUUAUGGUUUGUACUAAAAACUCUCCUAUGCUAAGUGUGUGAUGAACUCCCAUAUGCUAUGCUAUGUUGGUUUGAUGAACUCCAGCGAGAUGUUUUUAGCGUGAAGUAGUUUGUUUAAAUGUAUGUCCUAUGCGGGAUCUGUUCUUGCAGCACGCCCGACGUCCUGCAAAAAACGUUUACGGGAUACCGUAAAAGAUUUUUUCAGGACGGCAGCUUGUAGUAUCUGCUAGAGAAGUUCUUAUCCGGAGAGACCGCCGCCCCAGCUGAUCCAUUAUUAGGACAUCUUCAAUGGCGACCCCAUAAAUUUUCUUCUAUAUCCGUUUGCAGACAGAUGGGACCAGUCCACAGACACAGAUACGGGAGGCCGCCAUCCAACGCUAUCUUGUAUAUGUUCGUCAGUAAAUUUAAAUUUAGUUGUGCUUCGAUUCACAUAGCGCGCCGGAUCAUACUAGUGUCGGAUCGCAUGCCUGAUCACAACCAAAAAGUGGCAAGUAUGCUUAGUUUUUACAUGCCCGAAUUUAAAGGAAUAUUAGUCCGGCAGUCAGUGCAUUUCUGCCCUGCCGGACCGACAAUCCCAGCCAUCUGCUCCCCGAUCAAGGUGGUGCCGUCGCCGCCAUGUAGGCAGCCUCCGCGUUCGCGUCCGCAUCCACCUCCUCCGUGUCCUCAUAGUCCGCCGCCCUCAACUCAUCUUUCUGUCGCUGCAACAUCUGGUAGCAGACGGAUGGCACAAUCAUUCUUGCGUCGGCAUCCAAAGAGUCGACAUUCAAGGUCAUCAUCUUGGCGUCCUCCGUAUUGACGGUGAUCUUCACUCUCUUUUCCUCGAGCGUGGUCUUCCUCUCUUCGAUCAUGGUCCUCGUCUCUUCGAGUUUGAUCUUCUUGUCCGUUGCCUCCAUCAACAAUUUGAAUCUCUACGCCUUCCUUUCCUCCUUGAUGUCCGAUCUCUUCACGCAUGACUCUCCUUCUUCGCCAAGAUGUUCUCGAACCUCUCAGUUAGCUUGGCCACCGCACCUUCUCGCUUCACCCUCUCCUCCUCCCACUUCUUCCCCCGUAAAUUUCUUCUAACCUUCUUCAGCGGUUCUUGGGUUGGGUCGGUAGGGACACCGGUUUCUUUCUCGCUGGCUUGGGCGGUGGUGUUGGCAAUGAAAAGGUUCCACUUGGGCUGCCCAUUCAAUUUCAACCAACAAUGCAUGACGGGGAAGGACUUCUUCUCCAACUUCUUGUACACCACACAAGCAUGAGUAGGUUACAAAGUGAGACAUUGUCGACAAUGCACAUCCGUCUAGUGAGCAACAAAACAAUACAUGUCCGGCUAGUGAAAAAAACUAAGUAUAUCCCGCUAGUGAUCAACUUACUUGCUCGGUCAUUUGUGCACCGCUAGACCACCGUGUGAUGAGAUGCUUCAAGUGCCCGCAAUACUUGGACACGACCUCUUGGAUGGUGUACCAUCGAUGGUUGAGGAAUUUUCAUUCACGGUUACGGAUGGCCGCGUAAGAGUAGGACGUGAAUUGUUUGUGUUCACGGAACCAUAUGUGAAUGUUCCUCCAAAAGGUUGUGCCCUAUUGCUCCGCGCCAUGGACUGGAUGAAUGCUAAUGGCCAUCCAUGUAUCGCACAACAGCUCGUCCUCCCGCAUGUUGAAGAUUUCUCCUCUACCCUUCUUCUUUGGUUCGCCGCCUGUAUCAUCCGGAUCAUCGUCCUUGCCGUCCUCCUCCCCUCCCACUCCGAUUGUUGCUGUCCGGCGGCCCAAUGCUGCUGUUGCUGUGUGCCAUCGCCGGUCUGGGUGUAGGACUGUUGCAUGACCGUCUAGGUGUAGGACUGCUGCUGCUGGUAGUUGCCGGACUGGGUGGAAUCCGAGUCUUUCACCUGUCCGCCCUCAUAGCUCCCUCCUCCUCCCUCGCCUCCGUCGUGGAUGAUGUCGAGCAUCUCCCUGUCCGGGUCAUCGUACGCCGGUUCCCUUGCUCUAGGCAUUGCAGCGAACAAUGUGCAGGCACCCAUCUGCUCCCCGCCCGCCGUCCGCACCCGGACGAGCUGCGGUAAAGAAUACUCGGAGAAGAGCGGCGCCGCGUUAACGUCGACGAUGUAAGGCACCGUACCAGCGGGGGUUCCGAGAUGCUUGGAGGCGUAAUAGUACGGAGGCUUGUAAUGCUCCGGCCACGACGCCGUCUGUACUGUGGGUGAGCCCGUCUGGCGGCGUCCGUCGCGACCGCCUCAUCCGCCACGACCUCCACCAGGCCCACCGGCGGCCAACCGCUUCUUGAGCUUCUCCUCCUUUGCGGCCUUCACUUUGACGCGGGAGUCUGCUGCGUAGCCGAGCUGAUCUUCCGGGUGAGCGUGAUGCUCGGUUCCUCCGGCACCUUUGCUGGCUCCAUCUCCGAUAGGUUCUCCAACGGUUCCAUGCGGCGGCGGCGGAAGGAAGGAAAUGGUGGGAGAAAAGAGUNNNNNNNNNNNNNNNNNNNNNNNNNNNNNNNNNNNNNNNNNNNNNNNNNNNNNNNNNNNNNNNNNNNNNNNNNNNNNNNNNNNNNNNNNNNNNNNNNNNNNNNNNNNNNNNNNNNNNNNNNNNNNNNNNNNNNNNNNNNNNNNNNNNNNNNNNNNNNNNNNNNNNNNNNNNNNNNNNNNNNNNNNNNNNNNNNNNNNNNNNNNNNNNNNNNNNNNNNNNNNNNNNNNNNNNNNNNNNNNNNNNNNNNNNNNNNNNNNNNNGAAGAUAGUGGAGGACUUUUGGCGCGGAAACAAUGCGGGAUGCUCCAAAAGCGCGGGCUCUGCCUUCCUUUUAGGUGGGCCAUGGGUGCAGAGAGCGACGUUUCACGUGUCUGGACUCCUGCAAAGCCCCCGCGUUUGUCUUUGGUCUGAGAGAGAAAACAUGCCUGGACCACGCCGUCGAGCGAUACAAGACCGCGUUGGAUGACUUCCAUAAUCCGGACAGCACAAUUCGAACGGAUGCGGGCGAUUUGUGGGUUGCUGUUGGAGAUGCCCUUAUCAUGUAUCCGUCCGACAUUUCCUAAAUGAUCCAUUGGUACUAAACAUGUCAAGGUUCGAUAUUUUCCUAUCGUAAUCUGUCUACCUCACCAACUUUCUGAACUUACCUACGUCGCCCGAAAAUGAUGCAAGUACGUCACAAACCUGCAGAUAGCCUACAUGGGUGUGCUAUACACUAAUUGAAAAACACAUAUAAUACCAAGUUAAGAAAAGAUAGAGAAUCCCGUGAAAAUGGCACUUGGCUCCCGAAGGAGACGAACUGGAGGCUGGAGCGAUAUGUUAUUACCCACGUUCAGAAACAGAGACGUGCAUGCAUGCAUGCAUGGAAGGAUCCCUCCACAGUGUGUGGUUUAGCUGGUCGUGAUUUGGCUGAAACACGUGCACGGUGUGUUCAUUUUGGGAGCAAAUGGCCGACUAUAUAGGCUGUUGCUUGCUUUUUUCCGGAUAAAUGGUGCUUUUAUUAAUAGGCUGUUGCUUGCUGAUAUGGCACAUUUCCUUGUUAUUUGCCACCCUAUAUGUAGGUUCGGUAAGGAAGAAAAUCGAUCGUAUUUGUUUGUUUAGAGCAAUAUUAUAGUUUUGCUAAAGCAUAUCUAGAUAUGCCAUAAGUAUUGCAUAUCUAAGUCCUAUGUCAUUGAUCUUACAUUGAGAUUCGUGUGGAUAUUUUCUUUUUCUUUUUCUCUUUUCUUCUUUAUGCUUGAUUCACUCACUUAAAUGUGCAAUAACUAGAGCACAUCUAGAUGUGCCCUAGACACACCCAAUAUUAUACGCAAAGUUGCCGAUGGGAUAUAUGUGCCUCAUGCUCAAAUCCUGGAAAGUUAUACUAGUAUCACAAAGUACAAAGGACCCGAUUUCCCCAACGUACGUGUAUGCCUGCAGUUGGUGGAACAGCCUUGAGAGGGAAAUCAAACUUUACUCAUGGAGUUACACUUUGACAGCGAAACACCAUAUAGAACCUGGGGUUACAUCGGUGAAAGCAAAGCACCUUUAUUCCUAUCGGCCAGUGUAGUACACUACCCAAUUUCCGUGCGUUGCAACGAGGGCAGAUAUAUUUUACUAGUGAUCUUUUCAUCCAACGCUCGAUGAUAUUUUUAUAGGUAAUCUGAUUCUUUCAUCUAAAUAAUAAUACUCUUUAUAAUUAGCAUGAUUCAACGGUCCAAAGAAUGAUACCCUUCAUAUUAACAUGAUUCUUUCAUCCAAAAGAUGACACUGUUCACAGUUAACGUGAAACCAACAAACCUACGAAACUUAACCAAACCAUGACGUAUCAUCACAACCACAUACUUCAUUUUAAUAAUAGAGAUUUGCCACUAAACUAUGUUGCUAAUUUGCUUUUCUGUGCUAGGUGCUAAUUUGCUUUUCCACACUGUGAGCUGAGUUAACAUGACGCUGAGAAUAAUCUGCGCCCGCCUAACAGAGGAACAGCCUAUGAUUGCCUCUAUCCAUGUGCACCAUCUCAUUUUAUAUAGCUCAACUGCCAGAAUUUUGAUAUGGAGACCCCAGCCAAUCGUACGUGUGGGAGUUAUCUCUUUCCAAACAUUCCAUGAUGAGACGGACCGACGGAGCAUAUAUUAAUAAGACUAAUCUCUCUUUUUGCGAAAUAUAUUAAUAAAACUAAUCAACCAAGUAGUACAACCAUUAUAUUUUUCAAUGAUACAAUAGUACUGAUGGUGUAUGGAACACAAAUUCAGUGGAAAUAUGACUACCCAUAUAACCAUGUGUUGGGAUCGCGAUUGGCGGUUGGCAGGUAUGGUUUCUUUCUCCGACGUCUUCGUUGAGUGAAGAUCCAAGAUCUGGAGUUUCAUGAUGUGUCUCAGGUGCUGACCCGUUUGGUACGUUCAAUAACAAUAACUUCGCCUUUGAUGAGCCACCUUGAAGGUCCGCAAAGCUGCAUAUCAACGAUAGUGUCGCGUCGAGCUCGGAUGAGGAGGUGAUCUGUCAUAUUAUCCUUUGGUAACUUCUGUGGUGGUGCCGAAGGCAGGUGACGGACAUUGGUGUCAAGCUCAGAGGAUUAUUGUAAUUUUCUUUCUUGACUGGUGGUCCUUUGUGCAAAGGCUAGCCUUAUGCUAUCUUUUUAGUUUUGUAAGAUUGGCGCCAAGAUGGCUUUUACUAUGAUCUUUAUAUAUGAAUGAGACACAUAUUACCGUGUAAGAAAGUCAUGGUAUUUCUUUACUACUUAAUUAGCGCACCCAACUGGUUAAGAAGAAAUCUAGCCAGAGCUUACAACGAAUGGACCGGAUUUGAAGCAACCAAAAAUGCCAAUUGAACAUAGGCCUUGAUUGUUUGUGCUUUUGAAGUACUUUUUAAAGAAACAAGGUCAAACUAAAACAUGCCAUUUAAGUGACAUGGGGAAAUUAUUUCUAAGCCUCUCACAGCUCCAUAACAACAACACCCCCGCCCCAAGCCCCCCAAAAAGAAAAUACAUGAAAAAGAAAGGACAUUAAUCUACUUUUGUUUGGGGGAAAUGUCUUCUAAAAUGGGAAAUGUUGAAUGAAAACCUCUAACUUAUCAUAGCAUUACAUCAAUCUGCAUUUAUCCAAUGAUGACUUGGACAUUCGCCUAGGGCAUAGUGGAAGGUAAUUUCCAGCUAUAUAGGCUAAAACACCAUUGCAAGCUACUUCCUUGGCUUUCAUUAUUCUCACGCCCCUACUAUCUUUUUACUCAGAAAAAUUACAAGAAUUGCCAUUUAUAAAACACCAUCCACCUCCCUCCUCUGUGUGUGUGUGUCUCUCUCUGUGUGUGUGUGUGUGUGUGUGUUGUCAUUUUUUCCCGCAUCUUGGUCACUCUAUAGUUGUAUUGCCAAACGAUCAACCUUUAUCAUAAUCGCUUCCUCUGCACUUCAGCUCUGCCACCUUAGCCAACCCACAACUGCAUCCCAAACAAACAUAACCUAAGUAACAAGCUAUUUUAUGACAAUUUUGUAAUAAACAAGAGACAAGUUCCUUGGUCCUAAGGGCAGUCCAAGUGUGUGUACAUACGAUGCAUCGUAUGCAUGAAAUGUGUGUUUAGAUAUAAGUUUGUUGAUGGUUAAUAUAUUAGCGUUGCAUGUAAAGUAGUUGUUAUUUGGCAUGGUUUACAGGAGAGAAAAAAAUAGUUGUCUCCGGUUCUACGAUAUGAGUCAUAUCAAGAUCAGGGGCGGAGCUACUAUUGAGGCAUUGGUGUUAGCUGACACCAGGCAGUUUAGUAAUUUCUUCAAAAUCUUAUACAAUCACUGCUUAAUUGCAUAGAUGACACCAUCAGUACAUAGCUGCGACCAUAGGGAUUUUUUUUCUAGUUUGGGGUGCAUAUUUCCUCUCUUGGUUCUUUCUAUGUCUCAGUUGAUUGAUUCUACAAAGUGCAACUCUAAUUCAGUAAAAACAAAUGUAGCUUGCAUUAUUUUUCACCCAAUGCACUUUUCUGAGAAAGUGCAAGAUGGAAUUUCACUUUUCAGAAACCGGCCGAGACUAGAAAAUGUCAAUCAACUGAGAACCGCUCUCUCUCUUUUUCUCAUUAACAUUUUUCUUCAAAAAGGAUAAAAAAACCUGGCUUCUACAUUGUUGUGAUGCACCCAUCUAAAUUUAUUAAAUGAAAUAAAAGUAGUCGAGAACGUUUACAGUGCUAGCAAAGGGGUUAGCAAAAACACAAAAAAGACUACAACAGGUCGGUAAAAUAGAUUACAUUUUUUUGUGGG